GACGAACGCUGGCGGCGUGCCUAAUACAUGCAAGUAGAACGCUGAAGAGAGGAGCUUGCUCUUCUUGGAUGAGUUGCGAACGGGUGAGUAACGCGUAGGUAACCUGCCUUGUAGCGGGGGAUAACUAUUGGAAACGAUAGCUAAUACCGCAUAACAAUGGAUGACACAUGUCAUUUAUUUGAAAGGGGCAAUUGCUCCACUACAAGAUGGACCUGCGUUGUAUUAGCUAGUAGGUGAGGUAAUGGCUCACCUAGGCGACGAUACAUAGCCGACCUGAGGGGGUGAUCGGCCACACUGGGACUGAGACACGGCCCAGACUCCUACGGGAGGCAGCAGUAGGGAAUCUUCGGCAAUGGGGGCAACCCUGACCGAGCAACGCCGCGUGAGUGAAGAAGGGUUUCGGAUCGUAAAGCUCUGUUGUAAGUCAAGAACGGGUGUGAGAGUGGAAAGUUCACACUGUGACGGUAGCUUACCAGAAAGGGACGGCUAACUACGUG
rnacentral:rRNA from 1 species